CGCUCAGUAAUCAGUGUAGAUCCUGUAUUUCUGUCAGCAGCUACAUCUGGCUACUGGGUCUC
rnacentral:pre_miRNA from 1 species